rnacentral:rRNA from 1 species
AACGAACGCUGGCGGCAUGCCUAACACAUGCAAGUCGAACGAGACCUUCGGGUCUAGUGGCGCACGGGUGCGUAACGCGUGGGAACCUGCCCUUAGGUUCGGAAUAACUCCCCGAAAGGGGUGCUAAUACCGGAUAAUGUCUUCGGACCAAAGAUUUAUCGCCUUUGGAUGGGCCCGCGUUGGAUUAGCUAGUUGGUAGGGUAAAAGCCUACCAAGGCGACGAUCCAUAGCUGGUCUGAGAGGAUGAUCAGCCACACUGGGACUGAGACACGGCCCAGACUCCUACGGGAGGGAGCAGUGGGGAAUAUUGGACAAGGGGCGAAAGCCUGAUCCAGCAAUGCGGCGUGAGUGAUGAAGGCCGUAGGGUUGUAAAGCUCUUUUACCCGGGAUGAUAAUGACAGUACCGGGAGAAUAAGCUCCGGCUAACUACGUG